rnacentral:rRNA from 1 species
CGGGAACUGCGGCUGCCUAUACAUGCAGUCGAACGAGCUUCCGUUGAAUGACGUGCUUGCACUGAUUUCAACAAUGAAGCGAGUGGCGAACUGGUGAGUAACACGUGGGAAAUCUGCCCAGAAGCAGGGGAUAACACUUGGAAACAGGUGCUAAUACCGUAUAACAACAAAAUCCGCAUGGAUUUUGUUUGAAAGGUGGCUUCGGCUAUCACUUCUGGAUGAUCCCGCGGCGUAUUAGUUAGUUGGUGAGGUAAAGGCCCACCAAGACGAUGAUACGUAGCCGACCUGAGAGGGUAAUCGGCCACAUUGGGACUGAGACACGGCCCAAACUCCUACGGGAGGCAGCAGUAGGGAAUCUUCCACAAUGGACGAAAGUCUGAUGGAGCAAUGCCGCGUGAGUGAAGAAGGGUUUCGGCUCGUAAAACUCUGUUGUUAAAGAAGAACACCUUUGAGAGUAACUGUUCAAGGGUUGACGGUAUUUAACCAGAAAGCCACGGCUAACUACGUGCCAGCAGCCGCGGUAAUACGUAGGUGGCAAGCGUUGUCCGGAUUUAUUGGGCGUAAAGCGAGCGCAGGCGGUUUUUUAAGUCUGAUGUGAAAGCCUUCGGCUUAACCGGAGAAGUGCAUCGGAAACUGGGAGACUUGAGUGCAGAAGAGGACAGUGGAACUCCAUGUGUAGCGGUGGAAUGCGUAGAUAUAUGGAAGAACACCAGUGGCGAAGGCGGCUGUCUAGUCUGUAACUGACGCUGAGGCUCGAAAGCAUGGGUAGCGAACAGGAUUAGAUACCCUGGUAGUCCAUGCCGUAAACGAUGAGUGCUAAGUGUUGGAGGGUUUCCGCCCUUCAGUGCUGCAGCUAACGCAUUAAGCACUCCGCCUGGGGAGUACGACCGCAAGGUUGAAACUCAAAGGAAUUGACGGGGGCCCGCACAAGCGGUGGAGCAUGUGGUUUAAUUCGAAGCUACGCGAAGAACCUUACCAGGUCUUGACAUCUUCUGCCAUCUUAGAGAUAGACGUUCCCUUCGGGACAGAUGACAGUGUGCAUGUGUCGUCAGCUCGUGUCGUGAGAUGUGGGUUAGUCCCGCACGAGCGCACCCUUAUUAUCAGUUGCAGCAUUCAGUUGGGCCUUCUGUGAGACUG